AUUGAACGCUGGCGGCAGGCCUAACACAUGCAAGUCGAGCGCGUCGCAGACGUGUGAGUAAUGUCUGGGAAACUCCCAUGGGGAGGGGAAUAACUAGUGAAAACGGCAACUAAUACCGCAUACCAUCGGCUUUGCCAUGGGUGGAUUAGCUAGUAGGUGGGGUAACGGCUCACCUAGGCGACGCUCCCUUGCUGGUCUGAGAGGAUGACCAGCCACACUGGAACUGAGACACGGUCCAGACUCCGACGGGAGGCAGCAGUGGGGAAUAUUGCACAAUGGGCGCAAGCCUGAGGCAGCCAUGCCGCGUGUGUGAAGAAGGCCUUCGGGUGGUAAAGCACUUUCAGCGAGGAGGCGUUACUCGCAGAAGAAGCACCGGCUAACUCCGUGCCAGCAGCCGCGGUAAUAC
rnacentral:rRNA from 1 species